rnacentral:rRNA from 1 species
AGAGUUUGAUCCUGGCUCAGAGCGAACGCUGGCGGCGCGCCUAAAACAUGCAAGUCGCACGUGAAAAGGGGCAACCCUUAGUAAAGUGGCGCACGGGUGCAUAACACGUGGAUGACGUACCCUAAAGACUGGGAUAACCUGAAGAAAUUUGGGCUAAUACCAGAUGUGGAGUGCAGAAAUAAUAUUCAGCAUUUUAAACCAUGGUCUCUAUUUAUAAGCUGUGGCUUUAGGAGCGGUCUGCGGCCCAUUAGCUAGUUGGCGGGGUAAAAGCCCACCAAGGCAAUGAUGGGUAGCUGGUCUGAGAGGACGAUCAGCCACACUGGAACUGAAACACGGUCCAGACUCCUACGGGAGGCAGCAGUUGGGAAUAUUGGACAAUGGGGGAAACCCUGAUCCAGCGACGCCGCGUGUGUGAAGAAGGCCUUCGGGUUGUAAAGCACUGUCGACAGGGAAAAAGGGUUUGGUGUUAACAGCGCCAAACAUUGAUGGUACCUGAGAAGGAAGCACCGGCAAACUUCGUGCCAGCAGCCGCGGUAAUACGAAGGGUGCAAGCGUUGCUCGGAAUUACUGGGCGUAAAGGGCGUGUAGGCGGCUUUGUUAGUGUAUGGGUAAAUACCGAGGCUUAACUUCGGGGCUCCUGUGCAAACGGCAAGGCUAGAGUAUGUCAGAGGUUGAUAGAAUUCCUGGUGUAGAGGUGAAAUUCGUAGAGCUCAGGAGGAAUACCGGAGGCGAAGGCGAUUAACUGGGGCAUUACUGACGCUGAGGCGCGAAAGCGUGGGGAUCAAACAGGAUUAGAUACCCUGGUAGUCCACGCUGUAAACGAUGAUAACUAGACGUUGGAAUUGCUUGCAAUUUCAGUGUCGAAGAUAACUCGAUAAGUUAUCCGCCUGGGAAGUACGGUCGCAAGAUUAAAACUCAAAGGAAUUGACGGGGGCCCGCACAAGCGGUGGAUUAUGUGGUUUAAUUCGAAGCAACGCGCAGAACCUUACCUGGGUUUGACAUCCCGAUUAUCCCUUGCAGAGAUGUGAGGGCCGGCUAUAGCAAUAUAGUCAAUCGGAGACAGGUGCUGCAUGGCUGUCGUCAGCUCGUGUUGUGAAAUGUUGGGUUAAGUCCCGCAACGAGCGCAACCCCUACUGUUAGUUGCCAGCAUUAAGUUGGGCACUCUAGCAGGACUGCCAGUGUUAAACUGGAGGAAGGUGGGGAUGACGUCAAGUCCUCAUGGCCUUUAUGUCCAGGGCUACACACGUAAUACAAUGGCAUCUACAAAGCGUCCCAAAACAGCGAUGUAGUGGUAAUCGCAAAAAAGAUGUCUCAGUUCGGAUCGGAGUCUGCAACUCGACUCCGUGAAGUCGGAAUCGCUAGUAAUCGUGGAUAAGUACGCCAUGGUGAAUACGUUCCCGGGCCUUGUACACACCGCCCGUCACACCAUGAGAGCUGGGUUCACCAGAAGCCGUGUUAGUUAACCGCAAGGAGACGCACGUCCAAGGUGAAACUGGUGAUUGGGGUGAAGUCGUAACAAGGUA